rnacentral:sRNA from 1 species
AUCCGCCUGCCGUCACCUUCUCCCCGCGCGCGGGGAGAAGGUGACUCGUGGC